UGGAAGACUCAAUGAGCCGAUAGCCUUC
rnacentral:piRNA from 1 species